AUGUCGUAUGCACCAGCAAUCCAGACGAAGCCGACAAGAGGAUCCGCGAGAUCAGGAGGAGGCUCGGCGGCAUGCUUUCUCGGUCGAUCAGCAUUGAUGUUGAGUAUACGAGGGAAGACGAGCCUCCGCAAAUGGCUGCAGUUCUGCCCAAGGAACUCCGCCCGCUCCUGCAGGAGAAGAAGCUGUACACCUUUGUUGGCUUCUCCAUUGGAGGUGACAAGGAGAAGCUAA
rnacentral:rRNA from 1 species